rnacentral:rRNA from 1 species
GAAAUUUUGCAUCUUAACUGUAAAAGUGCCGUUGAUACUGUGAGGCUAGGAUUUGGUUGCUGUGGGUGGAAUGUGUGGUGUAGCGGUGAAAUGCUUAGAGAUCACACAGAAUAUCGAUUGCGAAGGCAGCUCACAAAGCCAAGAUUGACGCUGAGGCACGAAAGUGUGGGGAUCAAACAGGAUUAGAUACCCUGGUAGUCCACACUGUAAACGAUGAUAACUCGCUGUCGGCGAUAUACAGUCGGUGGCCAAGCGAAAGCGAUAAGUUAUCCACCUGGGGAGUACGACCGCAAGGGUGAAACUCAAAGGAAUUGACGGGGGCCCGCACAAGCGGAGGAACAUGUGGUUUAAUUCGAUGAUACGCGAGGAACCUUACCCGGGCUCGAACGGUGCAGGAAUAUGGUAGAGAUAUCAUAGCUAGCAAUAGUCUGUAUCGAGGUGCUGCAUGGUUGUCGUCAGCUCGUGCCGUGAGGUGUCGGCUUAAGUGCCAUAACGAGCGCAACCCUUGUCAUUAGUUACCAUCAGGUCAAGCUGGGGACUCUAAUGAGACUGCCACCGUAAGGUGAGAGGAAGGGGGGGAUGACGUCAAAUCAGCACGGCCCUUAUGUCCGGGGCGACACACGUGUUACAAUGGGGGGUACAGAGGGCAGCCAUCCGGCGACUGGAGCGCCAAUCUCAAAACCCUUCUCAGUUCGGAUUGGAGUCUGCAACCCGACUCCAUGAAGUUGGAUUCGCUAGUAAUCGCGCAUCAGCCAUGGCGCGGCUGAAUACGUUCCCGGGUCCUUGUACACACCGCCCGGUCAAGCCAUGUAAGCUUGGGAUGACUGUACGUUCGUGAUCGCAGGAGCGACCUAG